CUAAAACAAGUCUAGUUCAGCCUUCCAGAGGCUGGAAAGGAUGAAUGCACAUCUCACCCAACAGUUUUAGGCAGGCAGAAGAUAAAUUCCAGGCUCCGUUUGCUCCCGAAGGGUGAUGCUUGGAAGUAGCAGAUACGACUGAAAGUAAAAACUUCCACAAAAUGAUUGGUGAGAUGGCUCAGCAGGUAAGGGGACCACGCCUGACAACCUGAACCUGGAACCCACAUUGUGGAGGGAGAGAACACACUCUUGAAAAUUGUCUUCUGACUUCUCUCCAUGUGCACUAUGGCAUGUGUACCCCCAA